AACGAACGCUGGCGGCAGGCCUAACACAUGCAAGUCGAGCGAGGACUUCGGUCCUAGCGGCGGACGGGUGAGUAACGCGUGGGAACGUGCCCCUUGGUACGGAAUAGCCCCGGGAAACUGGGAGUAAUACCGUAUGAGCUCUACGGAGGAAAGAUUUAUCGCCAAGGGAUCGGCCCGCGUUGGAUUAGGUAGUUGGUGGGGUAAUGGCCUACCAAGCCGACGAUCCAUAGCUGGUUUGAGAGGAUGAUCAGCCACACUGGGACUGAGACACGGCCCAGACUCCUACGGGAGGCAGCAGUGGGGAAUCUUAGACAAUGGGCGCAAGCCUGAUCUAGCCAUGCCGCGUGAGCGAUGAAGGCCUUAGGGUUGUAAAGCUCUUUCAGCUGGGAAGAUAAUGACUGUACCAGCAGAAGAAGCCCCGGCUAACUCCGUGCCAGCCGCCGCCGUAACAC
rnacentral:rRNA from 1 species